rnacentral:lncRNA from 1 species
GCAAACUCCAAAUGUGAAGGCACAGUUUAACCCAUUGAUUCAUUUUAAUUGGGGGGUUAUAGGGGCUAGGAAGAUCCUCAUAUUGCAUUAUGUGAACCUCUAAACAAAAACUUGCUAAAAAGAUUUUUGAAUCAAUGGUACCACUAUGUAUUUACUGGACUUCUUCUACAUAUCAGUGCUGUGUUUUGGAGGUACAAAAGAAUUCUACGAUUUGAUUUCUGUCUUGGGAAGCAUAGGGAACAUGGGAACAUGGGAACAUGAAAUUUUCUGAGGACUGAAUAGAAAGUCUGGUCUUCCUUCCUUCCUUCCUUCCUUCCUUCCUUCCUUCCUUCCUUCCUUCCUUCCUUCCUUCCUUCCUUCCUUCCUUCCUUCCUUCCUUCCUUCCUUCCUUCCUUCCUUUUCCUUCCUUCCUUCCUUCCUUCCUUCCUUCCUUCCUUCCUUCCUUCCUUCCUUCCUUCCUUCCUUCCUUCCUUCCUUCCUUCCUUCCUUCCUUCCUUCCUUUCUUUCUUUCUUUUUCUUCCUUCCUUCCUUCCUCUCUCUCUUUCUUUCUUUCUCUCUUUCUUUCUCUCUUUCUUUGUUUCUUUCUUUCUUUCUUUCUCUCUUUCUUUCUCUCUUUCUUUAUUUCUUUCUUUCUUUCUUUCUUUCUUUCUUUCUUUCUUUCUUUCUUUCUUUCUUUCUUUCUUUCUUUCUUUCUUUCUUUCUUUCUUUCUUUCUUUCUUUCUUUCUUUCUUUCUUUCUUUCUUUCUUUCUUUCUUUCUUUCUUUCUUUCUUUCUUUCUUUCUCUUCCUCCUUUUCCUCUUCUUCCUCCUCUUUUUUCUCUUCUUUCUCUAAUGUCUUCACUCUUCUCUUGAUGAUCAUAAGAAAUUUAUAAUGUUUCCUAGUAUGCUCUCACUCCUUUUCUUCUUGAAUAGGAAAAACAAUGUUUAUGAAUACACAUGGGAGUAGUGGGUGGGAAGGAGAACUAAUUCGUUUGAUAAGUACUUAAUAAGAGCCUCCUAUGGGCACAUAGAUCUCAGACACCCCUCUUUCCUUAUUCAUUA